UGGGGAAUUUUGGACAAUGGGCGCAAGCCUGAUCCAGCCAUGCCGCGUGCAGGAUGAAGGCCUUCGGGUUGUAAACUGCUUUUGUACGGAACGAAAAGACUCUGGUUAAUACCUGGGGUCCAUGACGGUACCGUAAGAAUAAGCACCGGCUAACUACGUGCCAGCAGCCGCGGUAAUACGUAGGGUGCAAGCGUUAAUCGGAAUUACUGGGCGUAAAGCGUGCGCAGGCGGUUAUAUAAGACAGAUGUGAAAUCCCCGGGCUCAACCUGGGAACUGCAUUUGUGACUGUAUAGCUAGAGUACGGUAGAGGGGGAUGGAAUUCCGCGGGUAGCAGUGAAAUGCGGAGAUAUGCGGAGGAACACCGAUGGCGAAGGCAAUCCCCUGGACCUGUACUGACGCUCAUGCACGAAAGCGUGGGGAGCAAACA
rnacentral:rRNA from 1 species